CCUACGGGAGGCAGCAGUGAGGAAUAUUGGUCAAUGGGCGAGAGCCUGAACCAGCCAAGUCGCGUGAAGGAUGAAGGACCUACGGUUUGUAAACUUCUUUUAUAAGGGAAUAAAGUGAGGCACGUGUUCCUUUUUGUAUGUACUAUAUGAAUAAGCAUCGGCUAACUCCGUGCCAGCAGCCGCGGUAAUACGGAGGAUGCGAGCGUUAUCCGGAUUUAUUGGGUUUAAAGGGAGCGUAGGUGGUUAGUUAAGUCAGCGGUGAAAGUUUGUGGCUCAACCAUAAAAUUGCCGUUGAUACUGGUUGACUUGAGUAUAUUUGAGGUAGGCGGAAUGCGUGGUGUAGCGGUGAAAUGCAUAGAUAUCACGAAGAACUCCGAUUGCGAAGGCAGCUUACUAAACUAUAACUGACACUGAUGCUCGAAAGCGUGGGUAUCAAACAGGAUUAGAUACCCGGGUAGUC
rnacentral:rRNA from 1 species